ACGAAACCCUAAGGCGCAAUGAAAGUGAAGGUCAGGCAUCGCACUGACUGAGGCAGGAUCCGUCCGGGUGAGCGAAGCUCUUCUUCCUUUCGCGGGUUCGUCCCGCGGGGGAGCUCGGCGGCGCACUGCCAGCCCAUCUCGGCCGCUUCCCGUCGGCGAGGUGGAGCCAGAGCGCACACGUUGGGACCCGAAAGAUGGUGAACUAUGCUCGGGCAGGACGAAGCCAGAGGAAACUCUGGUGGAGGUCCGUAGCGAUUCUGACGUGCAAAUCGAUCGUCGGACCCGAGUAUAGGGGCGAAAGACUAAUCGAACCGUCUAGUAGCUGUUU
rnacentral:rRNA from 1 species